rnacentral:rRNA from 1 species
AUGCUAUCAAACAUCUUGGUGGAGUUGUUACAGAUUACAAGAAGUUCAAUGCUGAUUUUCAGCAUUGUAUCUAUGAUAUUGAGGGAGGAAGAUGAAUUUAUAAGUGCAUGGAAUGAAAUGCUUGACAAGUAUGGACUCCGGGACAAUGCAUGGCUCCAAAGGUUAUUUGAGAAAAGGGAGCAUUGGGCCCUAGUAUAUGGCAGGAAUACUUUCUCUGCACACAUGAGCAGUAACCAAAGGAGUGAAAGCAUGAACAACGAACUAAAACAUUACAUUAGUUCUAAGUAUGACAUGCUUACUUUUUUUGAGCAUUUCGAACGUCUAGUUGCAGAUAAAAGAUUUGAAGAGGUGAGAUGUGACUUCAAAGCAACACAAAGUACUCCUAAGCUGAAGGCAGAAAGCUAUAUGUUAAGGCAAGCAUCAACUACAUAUACUCCACCAAUAUUCAAGAUGUUUCAGGAACAAGUGCUUCGGACCUUAAACUAUGAUACAUUCCUUUGUGAUGACAGUGACACCGAGGAGAAGGUUUACAAAGUAAAAUUUCCUGGUACAGAGCGUGAUCAUGUUGUUAAAUUUUUUCCAAAAGAAGAAAAGGUCAAUUGCAGUUGCAAGAAGUUUAAAUUUGCUGGAAUUCUUUGCUCUCAUUCCUUGAAGGUACUUGACAUUAAUAAUAUCAAGCACAUCCCUCAACAGUACAUCUUGAAAAGAUGGACAAUUGAUGCAAAAGUUUUGGAUAUAACAAGCAACUGCAACCUGCAUGAAGACCGCAAAACAAUACUGACAAAACGCUAUAAAGAGUUGUGCAGAAUGUUUAUCCAAAUAGCUGCUGAGCCGCAGAGUCUGAAGAGUCAUACUUGA